GUGAAUGUUGAUGACUGAGAGAGAAGGGAUAAACCAGAGUGUUUUACAGCAACCCAGCAGAACCAAAGGAUCUGCCAAUACUGGCGAAGUCCUUUCUCUGAACCAGACAACAGAAGCUGCUGUCCCAGUUCGUGGUUGCUCCUUCCCACUGGCAAACAGCUGGGGGGGAUCUGCUCUCAGGAGGAGGGAUAUUUUGGAAACUGGAAAACUGCCGCUUGCACCAGAAUGGCAUGCCACUAAUUUCUGCAGCUUUUUUGAAGGGAGCAUUGCCACCCGGCGAGCUCUGUCAGCCUCCUCUAGGAUUCCCCAUAGAAAUCCCCACCCUCCUACAAGAGGAGCCGUGCCCCAGGUACGCCACAUUACCCACAGCCAGCCUUGCCACUCCCAGAGAAAGUUUGUGUUGUGCCUGCUGCAGGUUGGACGUGAAGAAGUGCACAUCCCUCUUUUUUUGCCUUCUUGCUGCAGACUCAUUCAACAAGGCCAUUCAGGACUGAAUUCAUUUCCAGGACUGCAUUUGGGGAAGUCAAGACCUGAGCAGAUCCUUUUUUAUUUCUAUUCAUUCUCAGGGUGGUUCUUCUCAAACCAAAUGAAGCAGUCAGAAAGCGCUCCUCGACGAGUUGGGCCUAGCAAUAUGGCAGCGCACGUUCGAUAAGAAAUCCCGUCCAGUGCUGCUACGAGGACCAUGUGCUCCCUGACCCAUUGCCUCGACUGCACACGCUGCAGGGCGAGGGCUUUUGGAAAGCUGAGGGCUCUCGAGUUGCACGUGGGCUCCUACCUAAAAGCUUUCCUGGUUUUGCAAAGAUGCUGAACCCUUG
rnacentral:lncRNA from 1 species